CCCACAAGCUAGAGAGAAAGGAAUGAUACAAAGUUGAUGUGAUAGGGAAUUUCUCAGCAGGUACUGCAGAGGAGACUUGUCCCAGUAGCAGAGGAGAAAAGGAAAAAAAACAAAAAAAAGGAAACAUGGGAAAGAAAAAGGCCUAAACUUAGCUUUGCUGUAAGAAGAGCCAACUGACCUAAUCACAGUGGAAGUUCAUUUGAGUUACGGCAGGAUGAGAUGUGCUACUGCUGCCAUUUGUAACUUGUGGUUUCUUGUUAGCUGGCCAGCCCAACACAGGCUAACCAGCUGCUGCCAGCAUCUGUGGACACAGCACAUCCUGAGGCAAUAGGGAGAGCUCUCUGGAGCUCUGCAGCUCUGAAGGCAAAUUCAGGGUGCAGCUGAGAAGUUCAGAAGCUUUUAAGAAGCAUGCAGAUUAGACAGGGAGCCUAGGAGCUGGUGCCCUGUGUGGAUCAAAGCAGUGCUUUGAGGAGAGCUCCAAAUAAGAGGAUCAAUAGGAAAUCAGUACAAGAGACAGGAACCCAGCUGGCUCAGAGUCUCAGCCAAAGUGAGAGACCACUGAAUACCAUUGAUGACAGCCAGACAGUUUUCAAAAGAGAGCAUGAGUACAGCCUCAGAAGCUGGUAAGAAUGGUUUUUCAUUGUUGUUUCUGAAGUGGUUAUUGGAGAAAGUGUGGGAGAAUUCUUGACUUUAUAACCAGGAAAGGUGGAAGUUUGAAACUAACUGCCAGAAAUUGAAGAUCCCUUCCCUCCCUUCCUCUCCCCCCUCCGUUCUCUUCCUUAUUGACACAUUCCUUGUUCCAUUUCAGUAUGGUGGUUUGCUUAUUUCAUCAGCACCUUUUUGCUGCAAUUUUAGGACCCCUUGGAAAAUCUCCCACUUACACACCUUUUCUCCAGGAUAUGGUCCCUGGAGGAAGCCUUCUGCACACUGUUUUCUUAGGCACCUGUGCACUAUAAUGUACGUCUAAUUGAAAUUGCAUUAAUGGUAUGAUUCCAUUACAGGCAAGCAAGAUGCUUGCUUCAAGAACACUCCCAGUGGGCCCUGAAUCAGCUGCAAUAGAUAAUUUAUAAAGUGCUGUGGAUCUUCUCAAAGCUCCAGUGUUAAGUACAGGAGACACAGGGCUAUCCAUUAUUAACAAGAUAUUAUGCUUUUUGUUCAGCAGAAAGUGUGGGUCUGGGAUGAGCUAAGGUCUAUCAAAGGUGAGAUUUGAGACUGCCAGUUUGACUGAACUAUUCCUCAGACACUGCCUCUAAGUCUGUGCCAGCUUUUGAACUCUCUUUGAAAGAUAGCUUUCACAUCUCUAUUCUGACCUGGUAUUCCAAGAGUUCUCUUUGGAUUUGCUUGCUUUGCAUUUUAACCUUUGUGAAAAGGCUGUGAGUGGAAAGAACUACUAGCUGCUUUUGAGUUAGGCCAGUGAUAAAGCAGCCAGUCAGGUUCCUCUGAACCCAGCCCUCUGUCAUCACAAACUUGAGUUUCCCUCCCUACUUCCACUUGUUCAUAUAUACUUCCUAGUCUGAAUCUUCAGUAAGCUUCUGGUAGCCUAUGCCUGGGAUAGCAAUGACUUUCUAGUGUGAUGAGCAGUAAGAAGGUAUAUAGGAACUGUUAUGUCACAGCCCGAACUGAUGAUUGAGCACCUGGGGAGGGGGAGCAGCUGGCCCAGGAAGAACAGGUGCAAGCAUUUUACCUGUUUCCCAUAUGACCCAGGGUCCACCCUUCCCUGGGCUCAUUUAAGGGCUAGCUUCUGAAGGGCUGAAUGUUUUCUGGAUGAAGACUGUUUUCUGAGAAGAAGCAUUCUGUAGUUAGAGAUUCUCUUGCUACCUGGGGGUUCAGUGAGCAGCAGCUGCCCUACAGACUUCUCUGGCCCAGCAGUUCCACAGCACUGUGCUGGUAGUGGGGUUUGUGAGCCAGAAAAAGGGAAACGCAGGCAAACAGGGAAGGCAGAAAGCAAAUGAGUGUCUGUACCAUGGAGUGGAGAUGGGACCACUACGACUAGAAGCAAGAG
rnacentral:lncRNA from 1 species